rnacentral:rRNA from 2 species
AUACAACUUUCAGCAACGGAUCUCUUGGCUCUCCCAUCGAUGAAGAACGCAGCGAAAUGCGAUAAGUAAUGUGAAUUGCAGAAUUCAGUGAAUCAUCGAAUCUUUGAACGCACCUUGCGCCCUCUGGUAUUCCGGAGGGCAUGCCUGUUUGAGUGUCAUUAAAUUC